rnacentral:rRNA from 1 species
AUUGAACGCUGGCGGCAGGCCUCACACAUGCAAGUAGAACGAGUGGCGGACGGGUGAGUAAUGUCUGGGAAACUGCCUGAUGGAGGGGGAUAACUACUGGAAACGGUAGCUCAUACCGCAUACCAUCGGAUGUGCCCAGCUGGGAUUAGCUAGUAGGUGGGGUAAAGGCGAACAUAGGCGACGAUCCCUAGCUGGUCGGAGAUGAUGACCAGCAAAACGGGAACUGAGACACGGUCCAGACUCCUACGGGAGUCAGCAGUGGGGAAUAUUGCACAAGGGGCGCAAGCCUGAUGCAGCCAUGCCGCGUGUAGGAAGAAGGCCGUCGGGUUGUAAAGUACUUUCAGCGGGGAGGCGUUACCCGCAGAAGAAGCACCGGCUAACUCCGUGCCAGCAGCCGCGGUAAUUC